CCUACGGGGGGCAGCAGUGAGGAAUAUUGGUCAAUGGACGAGAGUCUGAACCAGCCAAGUAGCGUGAAGGAUGACUGCCCUAUGGGUUGUAAACUUCUUUUAUAAAGGAAUAAAACGAGGCACGUGUGCCUUUUUGCAUGUACUUUAUGAAUAAGGAUCGGCUAACUCCGUGCCAGCAGCCGCGGUAAUACGGAGGAUGCGAGCGUUAUCCGGAUUUAUUGGGUUUAAAGGGUGCGCAGGCGGGCUGUUAAGCCGGUGGUAAAAAUUCAGGGCUCAACCCUGUCGAGCCGUCGGAACUGGCAGUCUUGAGUGGGCGAGAGGUAUGCGGAAUGCGUGGUGUAGCGGUGAAAUGCAUAGAUAUCACGCAGAACGCCGAUUGCGAAGGCAGCAUACCGGCGCCCAACUGACGCUGAGGCACGAAAGCGUGGGGAUCGAACAGGAUUAGAUACCCCAGUAGUC
rnacentral:rRNA from 1 species